rnacentral:lncRNA from 1 species
UGAAUAAAUAUUCCGCACCUUGAAAUCAUCAUUCUUGAUAGAUAUGAACAUCUUCAUAUAAUGUCGUGGAAUGACUCUUCAAUAUCUCCAUAGAUGCUUUCUCAACGCCAUCAUGCUUAUAAUAGCAAGAUUCAUAUGUACACAAAUUGUACUUAGGAUGUGGUACUUCAGGACCACGAAUGCAUAUGCUUCAAGCAACUUAAAUCUUUCAAGUUAAGUCAUAUAAGCCAUAUAAUAGAC